rnacentral:rRNA from 1 species
AUUGAACGCUGGCGGCAUGCUUUACACAUGCAAGUCGAACGGUAACAGGCCUUCGGGUGCUGACGAGUGGCGAACGGGUGAGUAAUGCAUCGGAACGUGCCCAGAGGUGGGGGAUAACGCAGCGAAAGCUGUGCUAAUACCGCAUGUGAUCUGAGGAUGAAAGCGGGGGACCAGGCAGCAAUGUUUGGCCUCGCGCCUUUGGAGCGGCCGAUGUCAGAUUAGGUAGUUGGUGGGGUAAAGGCCUACCAAGCCGACGAUCUGUAGCUGGUCUGAGAGGACGACCAGCCACACUGGGACGGAGACACGGCCCAGACUCCUACGGGAGGCAGCAGUGGGGAAUUUUGGACAAUGGGCGCAAGCCUGAUCCAGCAAUGCCGCGUGCGGGAAGAAGGCCUUCGGGUUGUAAACCGCUUUUGUACGGAACGAAAAGGCUCUGGCUAAUACCUGGGGCUGAUGACGGUACCGUAAGAAUAAGCACCGGCUAACUACGUG